GUGUGUGUUCAGCUCCAGUCCAGUGAGUGUGGCUGAGCUGCUCUGUCUUAGUGGAGAGGAGCAGAUGGUGUUCGCGGCCUGCCAGUAUCAGUCUCCCCCACUUACUGCAUCUUUGGUGCUUCCAGGGACAAAUGCGACCCAGAGACAGGGAGGGACGGGGGGGCACGGGGCAGCUGUCCGUCAGGCCCGAUUGUAGCGCUGGAGCCAAAAUCUGUGUGUGUUUGUGUGGGAGAGGAUUUGGGUGUUGUCUGGUGGGAGAAAGGUUUUAGGUUUUAUUUGUGUGUGUUUGCAUGGCUGAUUAUCUUUCCAUUCAGCCUUGUGGCUCAGAUUUGAAAAAGUCACUUCAGUAUUCAGGUCAUUGCUUUGAUUUAGGAAAGUUGUUUACUGAUUUGCAUUUUCUUCAACAAAACCCAUACAUUUUGUUUGCUUUUUUCGCUAGGAGGAAUCGUUCAUGGUCUAAUUUGAUAACAAGGGACUAAAAUGUGCGUUCUUCAAAUUAGCUUCCACUUUUUCAUGCUCCCUUGAUAAAUAUUGUCCUUUAUUGCAUGGGGCUAACUGCACUAGGAUUUCAUAGCUCUGACAAAAGAGGGGACAAGUGCUUUCAUGACGGGGAACGGGGGGUAUGUUGUUAUUAAUACCCAGACACACACAUGCAGCAGCUGAUCUACAGGAAACAUUCUAAGACAGUGUAGGCGCGGGACCCUUCUUUCAAAAGCACUCAGCCAUGCUGGUGUGUGCUGGGGCUGGAGCUGGAAGACUGACCCAUUUUUAGUCUACACAAUCACGCUGCAGAGCAGAGCAGACCACCUCCCUAACUUCCCCCUACCUCCACCUACUGUAGUCAGGGGGAUCCAGUAGGGCGCCGAUGAGAGAAGUCUGGACCCGGAGCCGUGGUUGUCCUGAUGGAGGGUGCAGCCUCUGGGUAACCAGCCUUGUGAUCUAUCGCUGGACAAAGACUCGAGCAGCUGCCAGGCCUGGAUGCAGAGGAAGGAGGAAAAAAGACGCCGGGUAAAUAAACAGUUGAAGGUGACAAGAAUUUGACUUUCCUGAACCUGUGACUGCUCCGCGACAGUGUCUCACACCACAUACACACCUGUGGGACCUUCGUGACGGGAGUUUGUCCAGCAGUUGCACGAUCUUUUAACAUCAAUCCUGCAUUGAGAAACUUUGGUUGGUGCUUCUUCGAUGCCCAAACAUGAUGCCAGCAACUGAGAAAACAGCUAGAAUAUACUCACAACAAACUUGUAUUAAUCCACAUGUUCAAUGUUCAAUAUUUUGCUUUAGCAUCUGUUGAAAGAUUUAGUAUUCAAUGCAAGAAAUUGCUGAUCUCAUCCUCUAAAAGUACAUGUACUGUAUUUUAGCAUUUCCUUUACCUAGAGAUGUAGAGGAUAGAUAUUUUGGUGCUAAAUAAUAUUAAAUGCAGCUAAUGAAUUUAUCAAAUGAUCCUCCUGCAGCCUACAAACUUUUCACUCAGCUAAACCCUAUCUCUUUCCUCUCUUCCUCUGUCUCUCUCAUGUCUUGCAUGCUUUCUUCUUCUUCCCAUCCUCUCUCCCGAGGCUCCUGUGGCACGUUAACUUCCACGUGAAAGCUUUUCCAUUCGCUGGGCUGCCUGCCUGCCUGGCACCCUGUCUGCGGCCCAUGUCUGCAUGGCCUCAGUGCCAGCCUCAUCCUCCAGCCUCUCUAGCAUCCUCCGUCAGCUGGACCGCUCCGGCCUUUGGCCCGGUGGCUGCGGUCAAGGGCUCACUGAGACACAGAGACGGGGAAACAAGGGGAGAAGCGCUGAAGCCUGCUGCGGUUCAUUCACUUACCUUCGAUUGCUAACGCCGUGUUUGACUCUAAUCUGUUUGUGAGAGGAACCACACUGCAUCUCUGUGAGGCAAUUACAUGACAAUUUCCUUGAGGAAAGCCAAUCGCUAACCACUUAUACUAUUCUAUUCAAUUAUGUAAGAAGACAGAGCUUUGCUCUCCGCUGCUCUUCUGCUCUGUGAAUUAACAAACACUCUUGCUAUGGCAGAUUAAACGUGUCUACAGCCUUUUAUUUUAACAAUGUAUUAAUUAUGAUCAACAUAAUCUAAAGCUACAGAGCAUUUGUCAUUAUAUAAACGUGCCUCGCACGUUAUUACUAUUCGAGCCCAGCCCAGCCGACACUAUGCGUAUGACUUGUGUCCUCAUUAGGCCACAGCCUUUAAAUCAAUCCUUCACCCAUCAUGCUUAUAAAAUAGUAAGGUCCAAGCUUCUGACAAGACUAGGUUACCCUAGCAACAAGGUACGUCUCAGCAGUCUGAGUGAGGGUGGAAAAGGAUGUUGCCUCAGAAUGUAGGUGGAGACUAACUGGGAUACUUGAACAAAACAUCUUGGCUUCGUGGAAUAAAUGAUUAACAGAAAUGUCCCCCGUGUAGCGCAACCAUUCUGAUGAAUUUAAUAAAUAAUGUGUGUGUUACAUAA